rnacentral:rRNA from 1 species
CAAUAGCGUAUAUUAAAGUUGUUGCAGUUAAAAAGCUCGUAGUUGGAUUUCUGGCAGAGUGUCCUCCGUCCAGCAGUUCGUUUGGUUCGGAGCGCUCUACCAUCCUUCUGUUAACCUUUCCGGGAUUUACUUUUCGGACUGGGGCUCAGAUAUUUUACCUUGAGAAAAUUAGAGUGUUUCAGGCAGGCUAUUCGCCGGAAUACAUUAGCAUGGAAUAAUGGAAAAGGACUGCAACCUCUUCUGUUGGUCUGGGAGGCUGAAGUAAUGAUUAAUAGGGAUAGUUGGGGGCAUUAGUACUUUCCAGUCAGAGGUGAAAUUCUCCAAUUUGGUAAAGACUAACUUAUGCGAAAGCAUUUGCCAAGGAUGUUUUCAUUAAUCAAGAACGAAAGUUAGGGGAUCAAAGACGAUUAGAUACCAU